rnacentral:rRNA from 1 species
AUUGAACGCUGGCGGCAGGCCUAACACAUGCAAGUCGAACGAGUGGCGGACGGGUGAGUAAUGUCUGGGAAACUGCCUGAUGGAGGGGGAUAACUACUGGAAACGGUAGCUAAUACCGCAUACCAUCGGAUGUGCCCCGAGGGGAUUAGCUUGUAGGUGGGGUAAAGGCUCACCCAGGCGACGAUCCCUAGCGGGUCUGAGAGGAUGACCAGCCACACUGGAAGUGAGACACGGUGCAGACUCCUACGGGAGGAAGCAGGGGGGAAGAUUGCACAAGGGGCGCAAGCCUGAUGCAGCCAUGCCGCGUGUAUGAAGAAGGCCUUCGGGUUGGAAAGUACUUUCAGCGGGGAGGCGUUACCCGCAGAAGAAGCACCGGCUAACUCCGUGCCAGCAGCCGCGGUAAUUC